rnacentral:lncRNA from 1 species
UGAUUAGUUAGCUCGAACGGUUCGCAUGUGCCGGCAUCCGCACUCCGAUUUGGGGACGCGACGUCUGUUGAGAGCUGGCAACCGAGAGGCGAGGCAAAGAUGUUCGAAGUCGGCAGUUAUCGUCAACAGCAGACGACACU